AAAUAAGAAUCAAUAAUUGUAUUUAGUUUCGACCUAAAAGUUAGGUGUAUAUUCACCCUUAUUUA
rnacentral:tRNA from 1 species